GCUUCGAUAGCUCAGUCGGGAGAGCGCAGGUCUCAUAUUUCAGCAUAUGACCGUGUUUGCGGGGAAUCCUGAGGUCGUGAGUUCAAGCCUCACUCGGAGCA